GAUAUUUACUAGGGCUAUUCAAUAAUUCAUUUCAAUAACAGAACUGAACGAGAGCGGUCAACAAUAUAAAACCAAAAAACAGUGAAACAAAAACAUCAAAAAUUCGACAAAACACUAAAUUUCAACAACACCAACUACGUUGUAGCACACACACACACACACCCCUACACACGCGAAUGAAUUGCAAUAAAUUUGACAAGAAAAAGUCUAAUCAGAAGAGGAGAAAAGCAAAAUAAAAAAUGUUAUGCAAAUUCAUUUGGCAAUGAAGAAAAAAUAAAGUGCAUUUCGCAAAAGGAAAAUUGAAGUAAUGUAGUGGAGCAAAAAAAAAUCUCCACAAAGCCAAAGCACAUGGACUAAAAGAAUUGCGCGAGUACUCCGGGCAAAGUCGAGUUUAUUUAAUAAUUUCUUGUGAAAAAUGCUAUAGAUUUGGCGCCUGUCCAAAACUGAUGCAUCGGAAGUGAACAAAAAAGCUUACAAAGGCAUCCAAAAACAAAAAAAAAGAAUAAUAACGUGGAACGCAAUCAUACGGCAAGAUUCUCACAUAAUUGCUAGGGAAAAAAUCACCGAAGAAAUAUUUAAGCGAACGAAUUGCUGCUGACAACAAUAAACACGAAAAGUUAACCUCUUUAGCAAGUAUUGCGUCUUGGGAAUAACAGUAACAACAACAACAAAGAUAGUAACACCACAAACCAUCCCACCAUCCAUUGGCGUGUUUGUAGCCUCGUGUAAUAAAAUCCGAAGAAAAUUCCGUAGCUUUACAUCAAAUUUUUCUUGCUUCUGUAGUCAUAACAAUUUACCUCGUAUUAUUUUCUUCAUUUAGCUGCAUUCUUUUUUUUUCGUGUGUCUAUAAUCGCUGUCGUUGUCAUUGCGGUGCCAUCUGAGAUCAAGUGUGUGUGUUUUUUUUAAACAAU
rnacentral:sRNA from 1 species